AAAAGUGUGUGCGCUGACCGGGCCAGCCACCUGGCUGCCAUUUGUCGAGCUAUGAUUGACCUGGGAUUAAAACGUCACAUGCAGUGCAAGUUGGAGUAUGAUGAAGUUACAUUUUGCAAGUUUGGGACUAAAUUAUCACAUCUCUACUACUAAUAAACAAGCAAACAAGAACUUCGCUAAGUACACCCGGCAACUUGUCACACAAAACGCACGGAACAAUCAACACCACACAAUUAUACCCGCACAUCUAAAUCUAACAGCCAUCAUUCAUUUGCUGCCUGUACGGUGUGGACUUACGAAAUACCCUUGACUGACCGUGCUCCACCUCCAGCACCCCCCAUCCACCCCCUACAAUCACGCCGUACUCCAGGUAAAUAAGGAAACAACAUUAAUUCGUCAUCACACCACGCUGAUCUCCUGGUAAAAUAAGGAAACAAAAUUAAUUCGACAUCGCACCGUCGCACCAUCGCCAAUGUCAUCACCAUUGUUGCCGACCAACGUGGAGACCGUCCGCGAGCAGCGUCGCUUCCUUCCCCGAGGUCGCCAGGGCAGCGACGCCACAGAACUUCCAGCAAGGUCGCCAGGGCAGCGACGCCAGGGAACGCCCAGGAUCCUGCCCUCGCAGCGUGGCAUCCCUACGGGAGAUCCCCACUGGUACAGCCCGCCCUGCCCGUCGCAGCCAGCCGGAUACACGCAGCUGUAAAAUUCUUCUCUCCACUUUAGUCUAAACUUCUUCCUUCGACCUGCUUCUUCCUUUGACCUGUAGCAUCAAUACUCCAAAUUGUUAUUUUCAGAAUAUAUAGUUCUAAAAUAUACACGCGUGCACAUCACAAUACUACACAUCUGUCUCGAUUUCCAGCCUAACUGAUACAUGCAUCCUAUGUCCUAGACCUGGUGUGAACUAAAAUAGCCAUUCAUAUUUUAGAGUUGUGGUUUCGAAGUUAUUUGUAAAUGUAAUCCAUAUGAACAUUAUUCUUUUACUUACUUCAUUAACAUAUGUGCCAAUAUGUUCGCACCAUACCCUCAGGGCCAUUACCUUGACUGUCCAUUCUAGAUAAUUAAGCUCCAAGGCACUUGAUCAAUUGACAACUGUAAAAAACAGGUUGCAAGUGCAUGUGAUGCCUACUUACUUUCUGAUGAAGUCAUAACCAUCUGCAUACUUGGUUGCCUGAUUUUAUUUUAAAUGGAGUUGUAUGCGUUGGUAAGAAAUUAAGGUGUUUGUAAACUUGGUGAGACUAUCUUGACGACAAAGGGAGGGGACAAACUAUAGCCGCUCUUAUCCCCUUAGAGGGAGAGGUUAGGAGAGAACAAACCAUGUCUUUAGUCUAAACUUCUUCCUUCGACCUGCUUCUUCCUUUGACCUGUUGAAUCAAUACUCGGAAUUGUAAUUUUCAGAAUAUAUAAUUCUAAAAUAUAAACAUGUGCACAUCACAAUACUACACAUCUGUAGCUAAUGUUUAUUGACCUGUUGCAGCAAUACUCAGAAUUGUAAUUUUCAGAAUAUAUAGUUCUAAAAUAUACACAGCUGCACAACACAAUACUACACAUCUGUAGCGAUUUCCAGCCUAACUGACACAUGCAUCCUAUGUCCUAUACCUGGCAUGAACUAAAAUAGCAAUUCAUAUUUUAGAUUACAUCUAGCAGUGGGGAUAAAAAAUAUAGCUUCAUUGUCCCAAGUAGAUACGUCAGGAUAAAGAAUAGAAGUUAAUUUCCGCACCAAUAAAUCACAAUUUCUGUACCUGCCAAAGCAACAUUCUAUGUUUGCGGCUCAACAGUAGGGCCAAUAUCAUCUUCUGCCUUCUGUUUUUGUGUAAGUGAACAGGAGGGCCAACCACUGAGAGUGGUCCUGCAAGGAGACCUGCCAUUACAACUUCCUAUUAAUAAUGUAAAUACGGCUUUGAUGAAGCACAUUAUCAACUUCCCAAUUUUUUAUGAUAGCAAUAUUCAUAUGUAGGCCAAGGGUAUGUCAUAUCCCAAGAGUGCGGGAGCGCGCACCCCAUUUCAGGAUCUAAGUAACAACCGACUAUUGGGUAAUUAUCGUCAGCCUUUUCCUAAAAAUGUCAUACUGUAUUUGUUGGUGCUUAUAUCCUAACUUGCGGUAUGUACUUCUAUCCUAACUUGCGGUAUCUACUUAUGCAGACCCCAAAGAAUUGAAGAAGCAGAGGAACAGAGAGUACUAUGCACGCAAUAAAGAUGAUAUCCUUAAAAGACGGCGUGAGGCCCGUGAGAAGAAACAGGCUUCAACAACACUGCUUAAUGUCGAUCAAAAUGUACCUCAUACACCCCAGCCGUUGGCCCGAGGUAAAAUUUCCCUUACACUGCAUUCUUAUGUAUUGGUCCAAAAACUUAUAAGAUGCAUGCACCAAACUAACAACAAUAUGUCAUAGAUAUGGACCCUAACGAACUGCAGAGCCAACUGGUUGGGAUACAGUAUUCACAGAACAUAGAUGGUGUCUUCGAGAGACAACAUCAAGCCUAUAGUGAUAUUGAAAUGACCGGUGUGGAUGGCGAUGUCAAUGAACAAGAAAAUGAAACAGUUACACCGGUGCCCAUGUACAUCGGUAAUGCUGAUCAACAAAGUAUAUACAACCCUAUGUGUUCAUACUAAUUAACUUUAUUACACAUAUAUGCAGACCCUAAGGAGUUGAGGAGGCAAAGGAACAGGGAGCGGUAUGCACAAAAUAGGUAUUCAGAAAAUGGUUGUACAGAGAGUUUCCAGAACAUUAUAGAUGGAUACCUGGAAAUAAGAAGUGGCAGAAUAGAAGAAAUAAGUGAUCACAGAUUGGAAGACUUGUGCAUGCACACCCUGCUGAAGGAGAGAGGUACUACUUGCGUGUGCUCCUAAGUCAUGUCUGAGGUGCCACUUCAUUCGAUGAUUUAAAAACAGUAAAUGGCAAGCCAUGCAGUUCCUUCAGGGAGGCAUGUGAGCACUUAGGCCUUAUUGAGCACGGCAGGACUCUUGAUGAUUGCAUGACGGAGGCAGCCACAUUUCAGAUGUCUUCUGCCCUAAGACGGUUAUUUGCAACUAUACUGGUGUUUUGCGAGGCAACAGAAAUCCGGCAGCUGUGGGACAAACACCUGGCAUCAAUGUCUAAGGAUUACCGGCGUAAUCAAUCCAAUGAGGCAACACUUGAGUAGAUGGUCCUCAGAGAUAUCAGGGAUAUGUUGCAAUCCAUGGGAAAAGAUAUUACAAGCUAUGGACUUCCGGAUUUGGUUGAGAACGAUGGUUCUUCUGAUGGUGAGUACAAAGAGGUAACAGAGGAGAGGCAAGUCAGCGUGGACAAAGAACACCUAGAUUUAUUUAGUAGUUUGAACAAUGAACAGCUGGCUGGUUUCAAUGAAAUCAUGGAUCAUGUGAUGGAACACAAAAGCCAGAUAUUCUUUGUUGAUGGUCCAGGAGGCACCGGCAAGACAUACUUGUACAAGGCAUUGCUUGCAAAGGUGCGUUCGAUGGGCCAGAUAGCGAUUGCAACUGCUACAUCAGGUAUAGCGGCGUCAAUAAUGCCCGGAGGACGGACUGCGCACUCCAGGUUCAAAAUUCCAAUCAAGCUCACUGACAACAUCAUGUGUAGUUUCACAAAGCAGAGUGGUACAGCGGAGUUGCUUAAACAAGCCUCCUUGAUAAUUUGGGACGAGGUCGCUAUGACAAAACGUCAAGCAGUUGAGACGCUUGAUAGAUCCCUGCAGGACAUAAUGGACUGUUCUUUGCCAUUUGGGGGAAAGGUUGUCGUCUUUGGUGGGGAUUUCAGGCAGGUCCUCCCCGUUGUGACACGUGGGACAAGAGCACAGAUCACGGAUGCUACACUUCUAAGAUCCUAUCUGUGGGAGAAGACCCGGAAGAUACGCCUCACGUGCAAUAUGCGAGCACAGGCUGAUCCUUGGUUCUCUGAAUACCUCCUACGGAUCGGCAAUGGAACAGAAGAGACAAUUGGCGACGACUAUGUGCGUCUCCCUGACGACAUUGUGAUCGGCUAUACCGAGGAUGAGAAAGCUAUUAACACACUCAUCGACAAUGUCUUCCCAUCGUUGCAUGCCAAUGCUAGAUCGAGAGAGUAUAUGAGCACACGUGCUAUUCUUUCCACCAAGAACGAUCAUGUUGAUGACCUGAAUGACAAGAUGAUCUCCAGGUUUCCAGGCUCAGAAAAGUUAUACCAUAGCUUCGACUCCAUCGAGGAUGACUUGCAGAAUAAUUACACGAUUGAUUUUCUAAACUCGAUCACACCAAAUGGCUUGCCCCGCAUGUGUUGAGAUUAAAGGUUAACUGCCCGGUCAUUCUGCUCCGGAACCUCGUUACUCAUAAUGGCCUAUGCAAUGGGACACGACUUAUGAUUAGAGCCUUCCAGGAUAAUGCAAUCGACGCAGAGAUUGUUGGUGGUCAGCAUGCUGGAAAGAGGGUCUUCAUACCUAGGAUCCCUAUGUCGCCCUCGGAGGACAUCUCACUUCCUUUCAAACUUAAGAGGAAACAGUUCCCCAUUCGCCUGAGUUUUGUGAUGACAACUAACAAGGCGCAGGGUCAGACUAUCCCAAACGUCGGUAUUUACCUUCCCGAGCCAGUAUUCUCACAUGGUCAGCUAUAUGUUGCAUUGUCAAGGGGAGUGUCCAGAGAGACGACGCGGAUUUUGGCCAAGCCAAACAACGAGGUUGAUAAAUCUGGGAAAAGCACCAAGAACAUUGUCUAUAGAGAUGUUUUGGGGAGAUGAGGCAGGUGCGCUAUUCCGGCAUUUAUUUGCACCUUGUUAUUGUAUCUAUAACUACUUGUGGAUCUAACAUUAUUUGUUUUUAUUUGCAGGUUUAGCGAAGGAGAAUAAGCAGCAGAAGAGGAGGUAAGGUGGAUGAACACAAGGGUAUCUUCUUCGAUCGAGCAAAAGGUGAGAGCUCUGCUUCUCCAUCUGAUCCCCCCUAAUAUGUAUGUAAUGACCAGAUGGGGUACGCACGUGAUAUGUAAUAAUCAGAUGGAGUAGGCAUACAUAAUGAUAGUGCCUACACCUUUUUUCAGAUGAUAAGAGCAAAAUGUAUGCUACUGUGUUCUUUUUGAGCUUCCAUGCAUAAUAUUUUUCUAUGAGUAUAAUGUGCUAAUGUGCUGAUGUAUUGCAAUAUUUCAGGUUUUCAAGUUUGUCAGGUGAGAAACACUGCAUAGAAAAAAGGUUGAACAGACAUUCAUGGCAGGAAGAGGUAGAGGACAAAUUGAGUGUCGAGGUACUCCGUGAGAAAGAGGAUAAAGAAAGGAGUCAGCACAUGAAGAGAGGCACCCAAAGUUAAAAUGAUACAGUCCUAAUAACAUCAACAAUCUAUCAUAGUUAUUAGCUUUUGCUAUUCACUUGCUGUUUAGCCUAUAGUUCAGCAUCAGCUGAGAUUGUGCUCCACUUUUGGGCCAUCAGAUUUCCAUGUUCUGAUAAUUAACCGAAUGGGUUAUGUUUUAAUGUAACUGAUUUAGGUAUGCAACUGUUUAUGCAUAUAAUUCUGAAGAACACACAUCAUUGCUGUUAAUAAUAUAUUGUACACGACUUGCUUCUUGAUAAUGUCAAGCAUUAUUACUACUAUAUUGAACAUACGUCCAGGACAAAAGUUUGUUUUACUAGAAAAAUUUAAGCUGGUUGAAAUAACUAGCAUGUAUCUUCUCAUUGCAAAAUUUUAUUUUACACGUGAUCAGCAAUAAUAUAAUAUAAAACUUAAGUACGAAACUCACCACAGUGGAAAUCUGCUAUGUCAUCGUUUUAUCAGGCUCACAUCUCUUGGAACAACUUAAAGCAAUUCCCUGGCCCCUCCUGUCCAGCACAGCCACUGAACUAAACCUUCUGUAUCUGUAUAUAAAAAGGUAAGAAAAAACACACACAAAAUCAAAGAUACGUUCUGAUGAGCUGAAACCAAUAUUUUUGUAUUAAAAUGUAUCUACACUACUAUUAAAAGAGCAAACAUGAAUUCUCCUACAACCACACCACAAAAUGUACACAGGAUAACCUGCACCCCACGAUCAAUUACAUCUAAUGAAAUCUAACAGCACAGAUUCAUUCAGCGGUCUGCCAUCCGAUUGGAUGUCUUAGAUUCAAUGUUCUGCCACCCACGUCUGCCCCGCACACGUUCUGCCCUUCAGAUCGAUCGGCAUCAUGAUUUUUUCUCGCUCAACGCCGCCGCACCUCCAUACGUCACCCAGCCCUAGCUCCGGUGGCUGCGUCGCCCAUGACGCCGACGAUUUCUAUUGGGAUGUCGCGGACGAGCGAGGCGGAGUUCCAGGCCAUCGAGGCCGCCUACGCCGUCGAGUAGGCCAAGCCGCCUGCCCACGACACCGGCGCCGGCGACGCCCAACACAUGGUCCCAACAGUCGGCGGUGCUACCUCGCCGUCAUGGAUCCUAGCCAAGGUAGAGCUCCCCUCUUCUUGUUUCCCAUAUCCCCUUUCUUUCAAAAUUCUGAACCCAAAGAUACAGAUCCACCGACGUUGCGCUUGGUCAUGGAAAUUGCAUCCUUGCACCAGUAUUAACAAGACGUCUAUAAUCCAUCUACCUGCAUGCUUAGGCUAGCCCUUGUGUACGCCGUGUUGCGGUAUGCUUCCAAUCGGUCAAGAAUAAAUCCAUCUUGUACGACGCAUAC
rnacentral:lncRNA from 1 species